rnacentral:rRNA from 1 species
UACGUAGGGUCCGAGCGUUGUCCGGAAUUAUUGGGCGUAAAGAGCUCGUAGGCGGUUUGUCGCGUCUGCUGUGAAAUCCCGAGGCUCAACCUCGGGUCUGCAGUGGGUACGGGCAGACUGGAGUGCGGUAGGGGAGAAUGGAAUUCCUGGUGUAGCGGUGGAAUGCGCAGAUAUCAGGAGGAACACCGAUGGCGAAGGCAGUUCUCUGGGCCGUAACUGACGCUGAGGAGCGAAAGCGUAGGGAGCGAACAGG